rnacentral:rRNA from 1 species
GACGAACGCUGGCGGCGUGCUUAACACAUGCAAGUCGAACGGUAAGGCCCUUCGGAGUACACGAGUGGCGAACGGGUGAGUAACACGUGGGUGAUCUGCCCUGCACUUCGGGAUAAGCCUGGGAAACUGGGUCUAAUACCGGAUAGGACUCCGGCCUGCAUGGUCUGGGGUGGAAAGCUUUUGCGGUGCGGGAUGGGCCCGCGGCCUCUCAGCUUGUUGGUGGGGUGAUGGCCUACCAAGGCGACGACGGGUAGCCGGCCUGAGAGGGUGACCGGCCACACUGGGACUGAGAUACGGCCCAAACUCCUACGGGAGGCAGCAGUGGGGAAUAUUGCACAAUGGGCGCAAGCCUGAUGCAGCGACGCCGCGUGAGGGAUGACGGCCUUCGGGUUGUAAACCUCUUUCAGCAUCGACGAAGCGAAAGUGACGGUAGGUGCAGAAGAAGGACCGGCCAACUACGUGCCAGCCGCCGCGGUAA